UACGGGGGGGGGCAAGCGUUGUUCGGAAUUACUGGGCGUAAAGGGCUCGUAGGCGGCCAACUAAGUCAGACGUGAAAUCCCUCGGCUUAACCGGGGAACUGCGUCUGAUACUGGAUGGCUUGAGUUCGGGAGAGGGAUGUGGAAUUCCAGGUGUAGCGGUGAAAUGCGUAGAUAUCUGGAGGAACACCGGUGGCGAAGGCGGCAUUCUGGACCAUAACUGACACUGAGAGACGAAAGCCAGGGGAGCAAACGGG
rnacentral:rRNA from 1 species